rnacentral:tRNA from 1 species
GGGCUCCGUGGUGUAGUUGGUAUCGCAUUGGCCUAGAAUGCCGAAGACGCUGGUUCGAAUCCAGGUGCCCA